UACGGGGGGGCAAGCGUUGUUCGGAAUUACUGGGCGUAAAGGGCGCGUAGGCGGGUUCGCAAGUCUGUGGUGAAAGCCUCCAGCUUAACUGGAGAAGUGCCAUGGAUACUGCGCAUCUUGAGGAGGGUAGGGGCGUCUGGAACGGUCGGUGGAGCGGUGAAAUGCGUUGAUAUCGACCGGAACUCCGGUGGCGAAGGCGAGGCGCUGGACCCUUUCUGACGCUGAGGCGCGAAAGCCAGGGAGCAAGCGGG
rnacentral:rRNA from 1 species